rnacentral:lncRNA from 1 species
CCUACACCCCAGAUACAGGAUGUACUAGAGAUGGUUCUGGCUCUAACAAGAACACUGUGCCUACCACAAAGAUUUGAUUCCUACCUACAUAGUGCCUUGUGAUGAUUCCUGUAUUUUUGCCUUAAAUGGAAUUUAUGGAGAAGACAUUUUUGAGAUGCAGUCUUAGAGAUUAGUGAAGAUUUAACUAAAACAUUGAUACUACAUGGUCUAAAUGAGGCAGAGAGAGCAUUUUAGAUGUGAUUCCGAUGUAACUAUUUUGCCCUGACAGAAGAUGU